rnacentral:rRNA from 1 species
UGGGGAAUUUUGGACAAUGGGCGAAAGCCUGAUCCAGCAAUGCCGCGUGUGUGAAGAAGGCCUUCGGGUUGUAAAGCACUUUUGUCCGGAAAGAAAUCCUUGGCUCCAAUACAGUCGGGGGAUGACGGUACCGGAAGAAUAAGCACCGGCUAACUACGUGCCAGCAGCCGCGGUAAUACGUAGGGUGCAAGCGUUAAUCGGAAUUACUGGGCGUAAAGCGUGCGCAGGCGGUUUGCUAAGACCGAUGUGAAAUCCCCGGGCUCAACCUGGGAACUGCAUUGGUGACUGGCAGGCUAGAGUAUGGCAGAGGGGGGUUAGAAUUCCACGUGUAGCAGUGAAAUGCGUAGAGAUGUGGAGGAAUACCGAUGGCGAAGGCAGCCCCCUGGGCCAAUACUGACGCUCAUGCACGAAAGCGUGGGGAGCAAACAGGAUUAGAUACCCUGGUAGUCCACGCCCUAAACGAUGUCAACUAGUUGUUGGGGAUUCAUUUCCUUAGUAACGUAGCUAACGCGUGAAGUUGACCGCCUGGGGAGUACGGUCGCAAGAUUAAAACUCAAAUGAAUUGACGGGGUCAUAGCUGUUUCCU